rnacentral:rRNA from 1 species
GACGAGCGCUGGCGGCGUGCUUAACACAUGCAAGUCGAACGCUGAAGCACCAGCUUGCUGGUGUGGAUGAGUGGCGAACGGGUGAGUAAUACGUGAGUAACCUGCCCUUGACUCUGGGAUAAGCCCGGGAAACUGGGUCUAAUACUGGAUGCUACAUGUCACCGCAUGGUGGUGUGUGGAAAGGGUUUACUGGUCUUGGAUGGGCUCACGGCCUAUCAGCUUGUUGGUGAGGUAAUGGCUCACCAAGGCGACGACGGGUAGCCGGCCUGAGAGGGUGACCGGCCACACUGGGACUGAGACACGGCCCAGACUCCUACGGGAGGCAGCAGUGGGGAAUAUUGCACAAUGGGCGAAAGCCUGAUGCAGCGACGCCGCGUGAGGGAUGACGGCCUUCGGGUUGUAAACCUCUUUCAGCAGGGAAGAAGCCACAAGUGACGGUACCUGCAGAAGAAGCGCCGGCUAACUACGUG